ensembl:snRNA U7 U7 small nuclear RNA
UAGUGUCAUAGGUCUUUUAAAAUUUGUUUAGCAGGCUUUCUGGUUUUUGCCGGAAAGCCCUC